GGGAACCAUCAUACCAACGCUAGUGCACCGGAUCCCAUCAGAACUCCACAGCUAAGCGCGAUUGGGCAAGAUUAGUACUACGUUGUGUGACCUCCAGGGAAGUCCUCGUGUUGCACCCC
rnacentral:rRNA from 1 species